UCACAUCCCUGGCCUCCAAAGAAAUCUCAAUCUGUGCUCUCACCUGCAGGAGACUGAGGGAGAAGCACCGCAGCAACCUGGCCGAGAGCCGCCACCUGAGGGACUGCUCCAUCAACGCCUCUGGCCUCAUGUCCAAAUCCAGCCCCAGGCCUCCGAGCGGCCCCCAGCCCGAGCGCUGCUGCAAAGCGUAUGGGUCCUCCCUUCCACAAGGUGGCAGUCCUGAGCCUGGCUGCUCAGCAGUUUGCCCACCUAUUCAACUCGGAGCCUCUCCCAAAGGGAAACGCUUGAGGAGCGGAUCGCUUUCCGUCAGCCCGUCCCAAAAGCGAAAGAGCUCCCAUCACUGGACUCCGCCCAUCGCCAGGAGUAGGCACAACCUGAUUGGCGCGAGAGAUUCCGGCCACGCCUACAGACACCUACAGGAAGUGGAGGCCCCGGAAACCGAACCCUCAAAGAGGUGUAAAUCCCAAGUGGAAGGGGAUAAGGAGCGACGCCACCCAUCUUUGAAUAUGCAAACUGGGGAUUUACCAGCCCAGCCCAAGGGGGGUUGGAGGGGGUUGGCUGAGGUCCCGUGCACCCGUCUGGACAAGGGGACCGCCUCCUCCUCCUCUGUCUCCCACUCCUCCUCCACCUCCACCCCAGCCUCCACACCUGCUAUUUCUGUUCCUAUAAUCUCCUUCGUUCAGGGACACAGCAGCAGUGCGAGGGGGUCUGUAGGGGAGGCCAUUUGUGUGCCGGAGCCCGGCAACCGUGGAAACGUCCAUCUUGAGACUGACUUGGGGUCAGCGGAUUGGCCCGCCGAUGUGUGUACUCCUGUCCCCGAAACCCUACUGGGAUCAGCGGCGGCGGUGGCGAGCCAUGGCCAUUAUCAUCAUGCACUCGCCAUCUGGCCCUCCGAGGUGUCGCAGGGGUCAGGGGUCGCAUCCAAACACAAAAGCCUUGUCACCUACACAACAGCCUUGGGAUCCGGCAUGGGCGCAGCCCACGUCACCACCGUGGUCUCGGCGGAACCGACGGCGGUGCCACGGCCAGGGGGCCAGAGUGUGCAGUACUCCGCCAGACUGCAGCCCGCGGGCUCCAGCUCCAUGGGCCCCCGGAGACACGGUCCUGCCAGGCUCCAGGCUCCUCCGCACAGCACCGGGGACAAGAAGGCAGGCCAGGGCAAUGGCCCUCACGAUUCCUCUGUGGCAGCACCACAGAGAGGUCCCUUGGAGUCUGUCAAGGCCAGGGAUGGGGCCACACCCACGGUCCUCACGAGCUGAACGCGAUGGUUUCACGGUGACAGAGUCCGCCUGACUGUGCCAGAUAGAGGAGAAGGGGGCAGUCCUCUUCCUCUGACAGACUGACCUAUCACAUACAGACGGACAGACAGACAUGCUCUCAGUGACUGCAUAUGGGACAGUAGAGGAGAGCGUGAUCGAUGACCUUUGACAUUUCAAAAACACUGAAGUAUUGAAAAACCACAAUGUGAAUACAAAAAAAAAAUUAUAUGUAAGAAUUAUGACUAUGGUUGGGAUGUUGAUUAAAAGGAGCAAAAAAAGAGGAUUUAUAUGCCACUAUUUAACAAAAAAAGCUUCUACUUAGAAACCAAAUAGUGUGUCAUCUCUAUGUUGUUUCUCUAUUGUACAAAAAAAUAUGAAUAUAUAUGUCAUAAAUAUAUGUAUGUCAUAUAUGGGGUAUAUAUGGCAUACAAUGUGACAAAAUAAAGAAUUAAAAAUACGAUAAUAAAGAAUCUUU
rnacentral:lncRNA from 1 species